UGCCUAAAUGACAGUAUUUAGGGCCUAUUAUAGGCGCCUAAAACCUUGUUUUUUCGUGCCUGAACUUCCGGUCUCUAGUGAUGAGCAUAAGAACAUUUUU
rnacentral:lncRNA from 1 species